GAGACUCUGUGCGCGUGCAUAUCAAUAAGCGGAGGAAAAGAAACUAACAAGGAUUCCCCUAGUAACGGCGAGUGAAGCGGGAAGAGCUCAAACUUUGAAAUCUUCAAGGUUCUACCUUUACGAAUUGUAGUUUAAAGAAGUGUUUUCUGUUGGAGUUUCGGUAAAAGUUCUUUGGAAUAGGACAUCAUAGAGGGUGAGAAUCCCGUAUUUGAUCCAGUUACUUUCCAGCUGCGUGAUACACUUUCAAAGAGUCGGAUUGUUUGGGAAUGCAGUCCAAAAUGGGUGGUAAAUUUCAUCUAAAGCUAAAUAUUGGCGAGAGACCGAUAGCGAACAAGUACCGUGAGGGAAAGAUGAAAAGAACUUUGAAAAGAGAGUUAAACAGUACGUGAAAUUGUCAAAAGGGAAGCGUUUGACACCAGUGUUGUUUAGUUGAAAAUCAAUUCAAUAAUUUUUGAUUUUGAGUAGUAUUGACUUCAUCAGCUUGCUGCUUUCUUUUCAGAAAUUAUUGAAUGCACUUUUCAGUUAACAAGUCAACAUCAAUUUCUUUUGUUGUAAAAGGGUAAGAGGAAGGUGGCUUACGCUUCGGCGUAAGUGUUUAUAGCCUUUUACCUCUGCAAUCGGAGAGAUUGAGGACAGCAGCGUAGACUCCUUCGGGGGUUAGAUACACUUGUGCUAAGCUAUAGCCUUGUAUAGACAACUUGUUGACUAUGCUCAGUCAUGUAGCUUACUCGCUUGAUGCUAUUUUACCUACGCUUAGGAUGUUGACAGCAGUAUAGACUGU
rnacentral:rRNA from 1 species